rnacentral:rRNA from 1 species
GAUGAACGCUGGCGGCGUGCCUAAUACAUGCAAGUCGAACGAAGUCUUCGGACUUAGUGGCGAACGGGUGAGUAACACGUUGGUACCUACCCCGAAGUGGGGAAUAACUGCCCGAAAGGGUGGCUAAUACCGCAUAGUACCGCAAGGUUAAAGCAGUAAUGCGCUUCGGGAGGGGCCUGCGUCCCAUUAGCUAGUUGGUAGGGUAAUGGCCUACCAAGGCGACGAUGGGUAGCUGGAUCGAGAGGUUGACCAGCCACACUGGGACUGAGAUACGGCCCAGACUCCUACGGGAGGCAGCAGUAAGGAAUCUUCCACAAUGGACGAAAGUCUGAUGGAGCAACGCCGCGUGCAGGAUGACGGCCUUCGGGUUGUAAACUGCUUUUAUACGGGAAGAUUAUGACGGUACCGUAUGAAUAAGGACCGACUAACUACGUGCCAGCAGCCGCGGUAA